rnacentral:rRNA from 1 species
AUUGAACGCUGGCGGCAGGCCUAACACAUGCAAGUCGAACGGUAACUGGAAACAGCUUGCUGUUUCGCUGACGAGUGGCGGACGGGUGAGUAAUGUCUGGGAAACUGCCUGAUGGAGGGGGAUAACUACUGGAAACGGUAGCUAAUACCGCAUAACGUCGCAAGACCAAAGAGGGGGACCUUCGGGCCUCUUGCCAUCGGAUGUGCCCAGAUGGGAUUAGCUAGUAGGUGGGGUAACGGCUCACCUAGGCGACGAUCCCUAGCUGGUCUGAGAGGAUGACCAGCCAAACUGGAACUGAGACACGGUCCAGACUCCUACGGGAGGCAGCAGUGGGGAAUAUUGCACAAUGGGCGCAAGCCUGAUGCAGCCAUGUCGCGUGUAUGAAGAAGGCCUUCGGGUUGUAAAGUACUUUCAGCGGGGAGGAAGGGAGUAAAGUUAAUACCUUUGCUCAUCGACGUUACCCGCAGAAGAAGCACCGGCUAACUCCGUGCCAGCCGCCGCAGUAA